rnacentral:rRNA from 1 species
AUUAGAUACCCUGGUAGUCCACGCAGUAAACGAUGGAUACCAUCUUUUUGGCAAUUAUGCUGAGAGGACAAUCGAAAGAGAUAAGUAUCUCACCUGGGGAGUACGUUCGCAAGAAUGAAACUCAAAGGAAUUGACGGGGACCCGCACAAGCAGUGGAUUAUGUGGUUUAAUUCGAAGCAACGCGAAGAACCUUACCUGGUCUUGACAUCCCGAUGAAUACAGGGUAAUGCCUGUAGUACUUCGGUACAUCGGAGACAGGUGGUGCAUGGUUGUCGUCAGCUCGUGUCGUGAGAUGUUGGGUUAAGUCCCGCAACGAGCGCAACCCUUAUCCUUAGUAGCCAGCAUUUAAGGUGGGCACUCUAGGGAGACUGCCGGGGGCAACCCGGAGGAAGGCGGGGAUGACGUCAAAUCAUCAUGCCCCUUAUGGCCAGGGCUACACACGUGCUACAAUGGCGCAAACAGAGGGAAGCGGAGCGGUGACGGCGAGCGAAUCCCAAAAAGUGCGUCCCAGUUCGGAUUGUAGUCUGCAACUCGACUACAUGAAGCCGGAAUCGCUAGUAAUCGCGGAUCAGAAUGCCGCGGUGAAUACGUUCCCGGGUCUUGUACACACCGCCCGUCACACCAUGGGAGCCGGAAAUGCCCGAAGUCAGUGACCCAACCAAUAAGGAGGGAGCUGCCGAAGGCAGGUCUGGUGACUGGGGUGAAGUCGUAACAAGGUAGC